AUCCGACUGAGUGGCGAACUGGUGAGUAACACGUGGGUAACCUGCCCAGAAGAAGGGGAUAACACCUGGAAACAGAUGCUAAUACCGUAUAACAACAAGAACCAUAUGGUUCUUGUUUGAAAGCUGGCCUUUGUGCUAGUGCUUCUGGAUGGACCCGCGGCGUAUUAGCUAGUUGGUGAGAUAAUAGCUCACCAAGGCAAUGAUACGUAGCAGACCUGAGAGGGUAAUCUGCCACAAUGGGACUGAGACACGGCCCAUACUCC
rnacentral:rRNA from 1 species